rnacentral:rRNA from 1 species
AGUGAACGCUGGCGGUAGGCCUAACACAUGCAAGUCGAACGGCAGCACAGUAAGAGCUUGCUCUUACGGGUGGCGAGUGGCGGACGGGUGAGGAAUACAUCGGAAUCUACUUUUUCGUGGGGGAUAACGUAGGGAAACUUACGCUAAUACCGCAUACGACCUACGGGUGAAAGCAGGGGAUCUUCGGACCUUGCGCGAUUGAAUGAGCCGAUGUCGGAUUGGCUAGUUGGCGGGGUAAAGGCCCACCAAGGCGACGAUCCGUAGCUGGUCUGAGAGGAUGAUCAGCCACACUGGAACUGAGACACGGUCCAGACUCCUACGGGAGGCAGCAGUGGGGAAUAUUGGACAAUGGGCGCAAGCCUGAUCCAGCCAUACCGCGUGGGUGAAGAAGGCCUUCGGGUUGUAAAGCCCUUUUGUUGGGAAAGAAAAGCAGCAGGUUAAUACCCCGCUGUUCUGACGGUACCAAAAGAAUAAGCACCGGCUAACUUCGUG